AUCACUUCUCAUCCUUUUGGCUAAGAUCAAGUGUAGUAUCUAUUCUUAUCAGUUUACUAUCUGAUAUGUCCUCUAUGCUAUGACAAUAUACUAAAUGAAUUUGGAGCAGGGAAGUUAUAUAGGAGCUUGGUUCCAUCAAUUCUGUACAGCACCCUGGCAUUACAGUAUCUCCAGGAAUGGAGGAGAACUU
rnacentral:snRNA from 1 species